CAAUACACGCCCACUCACACACCUCACCCUCUCCUCUCUCCCUCUCAGCAGCACCCUAAAACCCUCCCCACCCAUUUUGUUUUCUCCCCCAUUUCUUUAUCUUCUUACAUUUUUCAACUCAUCAAGGCAAGGAGCAUCAAUACUUAGUGGUGCAAGUAGCAGGCCAGGCAAGGAGCCUCUAGACGAUUCCAUACAAGUAUUCAGUAAGCGUAGUUCAGUAAAACCCGAUGAUGACCCGAUUCAAGCAAACCGCUCGUAAGACAUGUGGGGGCUCGGGGUAUGCUUACCGUCAGAUGAUUGAGCAGGUUGGGAACUUGUAGUUCCCCAUUACUUAUAACUUGUGGGAUCUAAAAUUUGGUAGUAAUUUGACUUAGACAUUUUGGUCUGUAAUAUUGAAAAUAUGUUAGAUGUUGUUCAUACUCAUUCCCGUGAUCCGGGGAUUGUGGUUAAGACUUGUAUUUUAGAUUCUCUAAGUUAUUCUAGAACUUUUAUUGUUAAUUUAUAUCAUUCAUGCUUCUGCUAGUUAA